GUACUGAUGAAGAGUCCCAAACUAGGACGAAACACCUAUCCAGUAC
rnacentral:hammerhead_ribozyme from 1 species